GGGCUCACUUUGACAGUGCAUAUACUAAAACUGGAACAAUAUGAAGAAAAUUAGGAUGACAUGCAAAUUUGUGAAGUGUUCCAUAUUUUU
rnacentral:snRNA from 1 species